rnacentral:rRNA from 1 species
UACGUAGGGGGCAAGCGUUGUCCGGAAUUAUUGGGCGUAAAGAGCUCGUAGGCGGUGUGUCGCGUCGGCCGUGAAAACCUGCAGCUUAACUGUGGGCUUGCGGUCGAUACGGGCAUCACUGGAGUUCGGCAGGGGAGACUGGAAUUCCUGGUGUAGCGGUGAAAUGCGUAGAUAUCUGGAGGAACACCGGUGGCGAAGGCGGCAUUCUGGACCGACAUUGACGCUGAGGAGCGAAAGCCAGGGGAGCAAACGGG